ACGCGGAGGGAGCUUCUGGUCCGGUGGAAGACAGGAAUCUCUGCAGUGGACCUCACCUACUUGAGCAGCUGCUGGGGCUUCCAACGUCAUCCCUGCCAGGGCCCCAUCAAAACUGUUCGAAUUGGGCCCCGCACUUGCUAAAGCCGGCCCUGGCUGAGAGUAUGCACACAUUCCAUGAAAUAUGGCAGAAAUCAGAAAUAACUUAAUUGAAGGCAGUGGUGUUACUGAGAUUCAAUCCCUGGACUGUGAAUGGGAGCCAAACAAGCAAUUUUGUUUAGGAAAACCCCUCAUGAUAUGGAAUACAAUUUGAUUGUGCUUCUAAAAAUGAUUUCCAAAUCAUUU